rfam:Taenia asiatica genome assembly, scaffold: TASK_scaffold0004193
GCCCCGAUAGCUCAAUCGGUAGAGCGUCGGACUUUCAAUCUGAGAGAUCGGGGUU